rnacentral:rRNA from 1 species
CUGGAAACGGGUGGUAAUGCCGGAUGCUCCAGUUGGAUGCAUGUCCUUCUGGGAAAGAUUCAUCGGUAUGGGAUGGGGUCGCGUCCUAUCAGCUUGAUGGCGGGGUAACGGCCCACCAUGGCUUCGACGGGUAGCCGGCCUGAGAGGGCGACCGGCCACAUUGGGACUGAGAUACGGCCCAGACUCCUACGGGAGGCAGCAGUGGGGAAUAUUGCACAAUGGGCGCAAGCCUGAUGCAGCGACGCCGCGUGCGGGAUGACGGCCUUCGGGUUGUAAACCGCUUUUGACUGGGAGCAAGCCCUUCGGGGUGAGUGUACCUUUCGAAUAAGCACCGGCUAACUACGUGCCAGCAGCCGCGGUAAUACGUAGGGUGCAAGCGUUAUCCGGAAUUAUUGGGCGUAAAGGGCUCGUAGGCGGUUCGUCGCGUCCGGUGUGAAAGUCCAUCGCUUAACGGUGGAUCCGCGCCGGGUACGGGCGGGCUUGAGUGCGGUAGGGGAGACUGGAAUUCCCGGUGUAACGGUGGGAAUGUGUAGAUAUCGGGAAGAACACCAAUGGCGAAGGCAGGUCUCUGGGCCGUCACUGACGCUGAGGAGCGAAAGCGUGGGGAGCGAACAGGAUUAGAUACCCUGGUAGUCCACGCCGUAAACGGUGGAUGCUGGAUGUGGGGGACCAUUCCACGGUCUCCGUGUCGGAGCCAACGCGUUAAGCAUCCCGCCUGGGGAGUACGGCCGCAAGGCUAAAACUCAAAGAAAUUGACGGGGGCCCGCCACAAGCGGCGAAGCAUGCGGAUUAAUUCGAUGCAACGCGAAGAACCUUACCUGGGCUUGACAUGUUCCCGACAGCCGCAGAGAUGCGGUUUCCCUUCGGGGCGGGUUCACAGGUGGUGCAUGGUCGUCGUCAGCUCGUGUCGUGAGAUGUUGGGUUAAGUCCCGCAACGAGCGCAACCCUCGCCCUGUGUUGCCAGCACGUCAUGGUGGGAACUCACGGGGGACCGCCGGGGUCAACUCGGAGGAAGGUGGGGAUGACGUCAGAUCAUCAUGCCCCUUACGUCCAGGGCUUCACGCAUGCUACAAUGGCCGGUACAACGGCGAUGCGCUCCUCGUGAGGGGGAGCGGAUCCCUUAAAACCGGUCUCAGUAGACAUAGUCUGCAACC